AGAAUCAACGCUGGCGGCGUGCCUAACACAUGCAAGUCGCACGAGAAAGGGGAGCAAUCCCUGAGUAAAGUGGCGCACGGGGGAGUAACACGUGAAUGAUCUACCUCCGAGUGGGGAAUAACCAAAAGAAAUUUUGGCUAAUACCGCAUAACACUUACGAGUCAAAGCAGCAAUGCGCUUGGAGAGGAGUUCGCGGCAGAUUAGCUAGUUGGCGGGGUAAUGGCCCACCAAGGCGAUGAUCUGUA
rnacentral:rRNA from 1 species